rnacentral:tRNA from 1 species
AUAAGUGUAGUUAAAUUAUAAUACUAGACUGUGAUUCUAGCGUUAAAAGUUAAAACCUUUUCACUUAUC